CGAAGUGGUUUGCGCUAGAUAUAACUGUAAUAUUAGUAUUUUGUGUAUGGUGUGGUAAAAUGAUAUCAAAAGUUAUGUGUAGGGGUGAUAGGCCUAUCAAAAACCAAGAUAGCUUGAUUCUAAUGAAAGGUAUUUAGUACAAUAUUAUACAUUUAUUAAGUGGCGAGGCUUAUUAAAAAUAUAAGGGUAUAUUAAUGGGUGUAUAUUAAUUUAUAAUAAAAAAAUAUAUAAUUAUAAUAUUAUUUCACUUUAAUUGUUUAUAAAUAUUAAUUAGAUGUAGCUAAGCUUUUGUAUGUGUUAAUAAUGUUAGUAUUAGUAUAUUACGCUGGGUUUAUUUGAGGAACUCGGCAAAAAUGUUUCUCAACUGUUUAUCAAAAACAUAACUGUGUGUGACUAUACAUAGCUUUUUCUGCUCAAUGAUUUUAUUAAAUAGCCGCAGUA
rnacentral:rRNA from 1 species